ensembl:lncRNA
CUGUUUCUUAAACUGUUGGCACUCUUCGGGGGUGAGGGUAUCCGCCUUGGCGAUCAGAGGGAUGAUGUUCACCUUCUCGUGCAACCGUUUCAUGAACUCGAUGUCCAGCGGCUUCAGUCUGGGCGGGAAAACGAAACGCAAAUCAAACACCGAGCAGUGAAUACAAGACACUUAUGAACAGAGCUGAUACGAAGCUGGGAGAGAGAGAGAGAGAGAGAUUGAUUCUAAGCUAUUCUGUCCGAGGCUGAAAUGAAAGUAACCCUUCCUCAUGGGUGUGCUGUGGGUUUCCUGCUGGUUUUCUGGUUGCGAUAACGGUCGGCUGAGAGCGUCUGUUAUUAUCCACUUUGACUCGUCGGCACAGCCGGACGUUCACAGAGGACACGGACCGUACGGCUGUGUCUCGAACGGUUCAGGAAGUCUCACAAAGUGCACAAAAAAAAAAAAAAAGACCGUUCCGAAUUCUCCUUAUCCAAGGAUAUCAUCGAACGUCUAUCACCGGGAACUGAUCUGAGUUAAAAGGCAACUAAAAUCAACAACGGCUUAAUUUAUUUACAUUUUUCUCCAAACAAGAUGAUAUUACAACAAAUGUCAAUUUAAGAGAAGUUUGUCUAUAUCGCCUAAACAUGGGGGUGGGGGGCGGGGGGGUAUUAAAGCAGUCAUUAUCUGAGGUUUCCUGUCAUUGACAUCGUGUGUUAGGAGAAUCCGUAAGUUACGAUUGGGAUGAAACUUCUCCACUUCAUUUUAUAAUAAUAAUUAUAAUAACAGAGUCAUCGAAACUCUGGAGUAACACAAACGGAACUAUGGGAAUUACGUUGUGAUCAUUUUUUUUUUUAUUUUUUAAAAGCCCCCAAAAUAAAUCAAAGUAAUCUAAUAUUUUUCAUCUUCAAAGUAGACGCCCUUUUCGCUGAGAAUUGAAUUUCCCUGAAAUGUUUUUUAAACAGUAUUAAAGGAGUUCCCACCUACGCUGGACACUUAUCGGCUGCUUUUCGGAAUAUUCCGACCAUUUAAAACAAUAUUUCCUCGUGAAUAAAAUCUCGGUUUUCUAAUGAAAGAAACGGAUACGUCGGCACGAUGAUAUUUCUGUCUGCGACACCGAUUUCAAACAUUUAAUCACACAACUUUUUAACAUCACGAGAAACAUUUCAGUCGAGUGUCUCCAAACUUUUGACCGGUGGCCGUAAACAGCCUACAGACUGCAGGCCUCGUUAUCUGUUCGUUAUCUUUCAAAGCGCCAUAAACAGUAGGAAAUGGGUGCGUCGUUCAGGGAAUUCGAGACUCCGUGUGUGCCCUCGACACUUUCACCUCAGACACGAAACCCACCAGGCAGCUUCCGUAAACCCUCGACAAGGUUUCUGAGCUUAGACUUUCCUAGAAUUUCUUCAUGCUCAUGUGUGUGUAUUCAUUUCCAAAACAAAAGACAAGAACCAG